rnacentral:lncRNA from 1 species
CUCACCCUGCUCUGUGUCUAGAAGAGAGCUGAACACGCAGUAGAACACAAUAAAUUAUAUUCAAAUGGCAGUCAAGGAGGAAACUUUUCUUCCUCAUCAACAAAGCUGAUCGAUGGGGGCUGAAGCCCCAGGGAAGCAGCAUCUGUUGUAACUCAAGGAUCCCGGCUUGAGCUGAGGAUGGAAUUAACAGGCGCAGAGUGGUUGGCAGCCCAACGUUUGUGCAAGUCUGGCACAUGCACACAUCAUUAGCAACUAUGCUGGAGAAGAAUGAUCAAGGAGGUGAGGAGGGGAAUGGACCUGAUUAAAGGGAUGUUCAAGAAAGGAAAUUCCAAGCACUUGGAUAAAAGCUUCAUAGCUAAAAUGAAUGAACUCGUGAGCAAAGCAAACAGCCAGGUACAUUUGGGAGAUGCCGACAGACAAUCUGGAUAAUUUUGCCUCUGAAACUUUCAAAACAAAGUCAUUUCAUGCAGUGAA